GUUUGCUGAAACAAAAUUUAAAAAAGCUCAGAGGUAACAGCAGCAAGCACUCGAAACCCCCAAAAUAUGCCUUCAAAACCCAAAUCAUCUCUGCCUCUCGCUGAUUCUCUUCCACUCCCACAUCAUGACGACGACGAUGACUUCCAGAUCCCUCUCUCACAAUCACAGCAAGCUUUCACUGUCGCUUCAACCUCCAGAAAACCCCUCAAACCCUCCAACAAUUCCCACCGACCGCCAAAAAAACCCAAGCGAUCUAACAAUCCCGGCAAGGAGAACGUGGCUCCCAACAAUUCUAUACCCAAUUGGAAAACGCCGUCUGAUACCGAUGAAGAGUUAAAAUUAUACGAGAAUUGCAGCUUGGAUUUGAUAGAGUCGAGCAUCGAUUUCAGUCACAGAAAUAUUAAUGUCGAUGACGAUGAGCAUUGUCAAAAUAGAAGUUUUGAAACCGAGAGUGGUAAGAGGAAAGAGGGACUGGAAGUGAAUGUGGGGUAUUUGUGCAAUUCUAUAGAAGCUAGGCUAAUGAGGUCGGGAGUUGAUCCUGGAGUCAAUCCCGUAGAUCAUGGGUUAAAUGAGGCUGAUGGGUUGGAGGAUUUCGACGAAGACGGUCAGCUUGACGUGCUAAUUAAGUUAUGUACUGAUGAUUCGAGAGAGGAAAGCAAGGUUACCAGUGGUAUGGAUCAGGGAGGUUGUUUGGUUCAGUGUCCGCUUUGCGGGAUUGACAUUUCGGAUCUGAGCGAGGAAUCCAGACUGGUUCACACUAACGAUUGUCUCGACAAAGAGGAGAAAAACGUCCAACAAGUUGCUUCUGCCAAAAAUGACGGGGGAACUGACUUGGCACCACAAGUUGAUGAUGUUCUUGUUCAUUCUCCAGGCCAAGUUGUUGAUGUUUCCCCUGUACUUAAGUGGCUACAAAAUUUAGGUUUAGAAAGAUAUGAGGAAGCUUUCGUUCGAGAAGAAAUUGAUUGGGAAUCCUUAAAGUGGCUAACAGAAGAGGAUCUCUUUAGCAUAGGUGUUACUGCACUUGGUCCAAGGAAGAAGAUUGUGCAUGCUCUUGCCGAACUUAGAAAAGGGUGUAAUCUAGUGGCUGAGACGCACAGGGACACACAUGCUUCUGUUGAAGUUGGAUCAUGUAGUAUCCAUGGAGCAGAGAUGCAAGUAGGGUCUUCCAAAGUUAUUGGUGAUGUAACUAGUAAAUCAGCUGCAAACAAGUUGAUUACGGAGUAUUUUCCUGGUACUGUCAAUGUUAGAAAGAAACUUGGCACCUUGUCUACAAAAAAGCAAGGACUAGCAAAGAGACACCAAGAUUAUGCUAAUAAGUGUGUGGUGAAAAACCACCCUGUAAACAUUAAAAAGCUCAAAGAUAUUCCCUUGUGGUGCACCAUACCAGGGACGCCAUUCCGGGUGGAUGCUUUCAAAUAUCUUAGAGGAGAUUGUGCCCAUUGGUUUCUUACUCACUUCCAUAUGGAUCAUUAUCAAGGCUUAACAAGAUCUUUCUGUCAUGGGAAGAUCUAUUGCUCCUUGAUCACAGCAAGACUUGUAAAUAUGAAGAUUGGGAUCCCUUGGGACAGAUUACAAAUUUUACCUCUCAACCAAACCAUCAAUAUUGCUGGGAUUGAUGUGACGUGCUUGGAUGCAAACCACUGCUCGGGUUCCAUCAUAAUACUCUUUGAACCUCCCAAUGGUAAGGCAGUUUUACACACAGGAGAUUUUCGCUUUUGUGAGAAGAUGGCAAGCAUGAUUGCUUUACAAAGGUGUCAUAUCCAUACUCUCAUCCUUGAUACCACAUACUGCAACCCCCAGUAUGACUUUCCAAAGCAGGAGGCUGUAAUACAGUUUGUCAUUGAGGCCAUUCAAGCUGAAUCUUUCAAUCCCAAAACUCUUUUUCUAAUUGGAAGCUACACUAUUGGAAAGGAAAGACUGUUCUUGGAGGUUGCUCACUUACUCAAAAGAAAGGUUCAUGUUACAGCGGCAAAGUUUCGUCUUUUGGAAUGUUUAGGGCUCUCGAAGGAAGAUAUGCAGUGGUUAACAUUAAAUGAACAGGAAAGCCAAAUUCAUGUGGUGCCUAUGUGGACACUUGCGAGCUUUAAAAGACUGAAACAUAUAUCCAAUCAAUAUGCGGGCCGAUUCAGUCUUACAGUCGCCUUCUCUCCAACUGGUUGGACAUUUGGCAAGGGGAAAAAGAAGUCUCCAGGUAGAAGGUGGCAGCAAGGAACCAUUAUAAGGUAUGAAGUUCCAUAUAGCGAGCAUUGCAGUUUUACAGAACUCAGAGAGUUUGUGAAGUUUGUAUCUCCUGAAAAAAUAAUACCAAGUGUAAAUAAUGAUGGACCGGAUUCUGCUGAUACAAUGGUUUCCCUUCUGCUGUCUUGAUUGAUUCACUGCAAGCCAGCAAGCUGGAGGGAGCCCUUUUCUUUGGUUCAGAUGCCAUGCUCUUAGAGAACAGUUCAUCUGUAUGAAUGGUCAGGACCCCUAUCUAAGGGUUAAUUUCACUCAUAGUCCCUUGAUUUAGUGGGUUGUAUCAAAUAAUAUCCAUCCACUUUAAUUUAUAUCAUAAAAAUUCUUAAACUUUAAGUAGUAUUAAAAUCCUGUGAUUUGCUAUUAUAAGAUUUUUAUGAGAUAAAUUAAAAUUAAGGAG
rnacentral:misc_RNA from 1 species